GGGGAAAGUAAUGCUCCUUAUUGCUCGGCGAUAGUGCUUACGAAGAAAACGGGAAAAUACCCAAUAUGUGUUGAUUUUAGAACCUUAAAUAAAGUUCUCAAAUAACCAUGGUCGGUCUGGAUGUAUUUUAUAAAACAACGUUAUUGGAGCUACCCCAGUUGUUGUAUUGGAUAUUUUAUUUAUAAAAUACUCCACAUCCUGUAAUUUUGUAUCCCACAAUGGCUGUUCAGUAUGGACUAAUAUACUUAACACCAGAUUGUCUUCAUGAAUUGUCUGCAAUGAAAAUAUUCCGUCUGUUUGUUUNAAU